rnacentral:rRNA from 1 species
CACGUAGGGCGCGAGCGUUGUCCGGAAUUAUUGGGCGUAAAGAGCUCGUAGGCGGCCUGUUGCGUCCGCUGUGAAAGCCCGGGGCUUAACCCCGGGUCGGCAGUGGAUACGGGCAGGCUAGAGGUAGGUAGGGGAGAAUGGAAUUCCCGGUGUAGCGGUGAAAUGCGCAGAUAUCGGGGGGAACACCGGUGGCGAAGGCGGUUCUCUGGGCCUUACCUGACGCUGAGGAGCGAAAGCGUGGGGAGCGAACAGG